rnacentral:rRNA from 1 species
GUGGGGAAUAUUGGGCAAUGGGCGAAAGCCUGACCCAGCAACGCCGCGUGAAGGAAGAAGGCUUUCGGGUUGUAAACUUCUUUUGUCAGGGACGAAAAAAAUGACGGUACCUGACGAAUAAGCCACGGCUAACUACGUGCCAGCAGCCGCGGUAAUACGUAGGUGGCAAGCGUUAUCCGGAUUUACUGGGUGUAAAGGGCGUGUAGGCGGGAAAGCAAGUCAGAUGUGAAAACUAUGGGCUCAACCCAUAGACUGCAUUUGAAACUGUUUUUCUUGAGUACUGGAGAGGCAGAUGGAAUUCCUAGUGUAGCGGUGAAAUGCGUAGAUAUUAGGAGGAACACCAGUGGCGAAGGCGAUCUGCUGGACAGCAACUGACGCUGAGGCGCGAAAGCGUGGGGAGCAAACAGGAUUAGAUACCCGGGUAGUCC